CACUGGUGGCGACCGGCGCACGGGUGAGUAACACGUGUGCAACAACCCCUACCGGGAGAUAACCCGCGGAAACGUGGACUAACAUCCCAUAACACUGUAUCAUCGCAUGGUGAUGCAUUUAAAAUUCCGGUGGUACGGGACGGGCACGCGCGACAUUAGGUAGUUGGCGGGGUAACGGCCCACCAAGCCGACGAUGUCUAGGGGUUCUGAGAGGAAGGUCCCCCACACUGGAACUGAGACACGGUCCAG
rnacentral:rRNA from 1 species